rnacentral:rRNA from 1 species
UUUUAUGGUUCGUUCUUAUUACCCUUCUGAAUGUCACGCUGAUUAUUUUGACUUUGAGCGUAUCGAGGCUCUUAAACCUGCUAUUGAGGCUUGUGGCAUUUCUACUCUUUCUCAAUCCCCAAUGCUUGGCUUCCAUAAGCAGAUGGAUAACCGCAUCAAGCUCUUGGAAGAGAUUCUGUCUUUUCGUAUGCAGGG